GUCUCGGGUAAGAUGGCUGCGAAAACUUUUGCCUCACGCUUCCGAGGCUCCCGACGCUUUUUGAGUGGCUUCGUGGCUGGAGCCGUCGCGGGCGCUAUGGGAACCGGGCUAACUGUCGUGCAGUUUCUCCGGAGUCGGGACGCUGAGCCAGCGUUGGCGGUGAGGGAGCCGGACGGUUCUUCAGAAAGGGCUCUCUUAGAACAAUUUGGAUUCCCUUUAACUGGAACAGAGACGAGGUGCUAUACUAACCAUGCCUUGUCUUAUGAUCAGUCAAAGCGGGUGCCUAGAUGGGUUCUUGAACAUAUAUCCAAGAGCAAGAUAACAGGUGAUGCAGAGAGAAAACAUUGUAAAUUCAAGCCAGAUCCCAACAUCCCUCCAACCUUCAGUGCCUUCAACGAGGACUAUGUUGGCAGUGGGUGGUCACGAGGCCACAUGGCUCCAGCAGGAGAUAACAAAUUCUCAUCUAAAGCCAUGGCUGAAACCUUUUACCUUUCUAAUAUCGUGCCUCAGAAUUUUGAUAAUAAUGCUGGUUAUUGGAACAGAAUAGAAAUGUACUGUCGAGAACUGACAGAGAGAUUUGAGGACGUCUGGAUAGUAUCUGGACCGCUGACCUUACCUCAGACUGGAAGCAAUGGAAGGAAAACGGUUAGUUACCAGGUGAUUGGCGAGGACAAUGUGGCGGUGCCCUCCCACCUCUACAAGGUGAUCCUGGCGCGCAGAAGCCCGAGGUCUGCUGAGCCCCUGGCACUAGGGGCCUUCGUGGUGCCCAACAAGGCCAUUGGCUUCCAGCCCCAAUUAAGUGAGUUCCAGGUGAGCCUGCAGGAGCUGGAGAAGUUGUCAGGACUGGUGUUUUUCCCUCAUCUGGAUAGGACUAGAGACAUCAAGAACAUCUGCUCGGUGGACACCUGUAAGCUCCUGGAUUUCAGGGAGUUCACUCUGUACCUGAGCACAAGAAAGAUUGAAGGAGCCCGAUCGGUACGCAGACUGGAAAAGGUCAUGGAAAAUUUGCAGAACGCAGGCAUUGAACCUGAUGAGGAGUUCAUGACUCGCUACGAGAAGAAACUGGAAGAACUUAAAGCUCAAGAGCAGUCAGGAGUCCUGGAGGGAAAGUCCUCGUAGUUCACGUCUCAGAAGCGUGAUGUCAUCUGUAAUGAAGCAGUAACAUCUUUAUUUCGAGACUUCAGGCCCUUUGGUCUAUGGAUUGAGACUAUUUCGCCUAUAUCGUAUGCAGCAAAGGGGGGCCUUACACACGUGGCAAAGGACUUAGGAUAGAGCCAGCAGGAGAUACAGAGUCUGAUCUCAAGGGAAUGAAUGGCUUCCUACAGAGCUGGGCUCAGCCCUCAGCCCUGCUCUUGGAGUGACUAACCUGGGAGAUGUUCAGCACAUGUUUGCUAAAGGAAGAAUGGACAGAUGCCUCGGUUUCCCCAGCUGGUCCCGUGUGUAGGCUGACAUCACUUAGCAGGAGUGAGGGAGUGAGAAGUGACAUCUGAGGAAAGAGGGGAGCCAUGCACUCUCUGGAGGAAGACUGUGUCAGAGAGGGAACAGCCACUGCUGAAGCCCUCAGCACCUCCCAUAGCCUUGCAGGCAGAAGCAGCCUGGUCCCUGGCUGUCCAGGAAGAGGGAGUGCAGCCCGAGAGGGUGAGUGGCAGACAGGCGGUCCCCAGGAGACAUGGCUCCAAGAGCAAAUAUAGGAGGCAAGCUCAGCCCCACGGAGGCCGGGCCGGAGGACAGCGGGGUGGGAGGGCAGGACGUACCGCCGCCCGUCAGCCCACACCCGGGGAGGGGGGCUCUGCUUCGACUUGCACGCCUUUCUGGAAUCCGAGCUGGCGCCUCCCUCCACGAACGCUGGGGUGAUGGGGCUUUUCUCUCCGGCAGCAGGUGCCUGGCAGCUGCCCAUGGAUGCCAGCCCCGUGAACUGGCCUGGGAGGAAGUGCUUGUCGGAGUGGUGAUUGUACGUGCUGGGCUUGGGCUUGGGCUUGGGCUUGGCCCGUCCCUGUCCCCUGCCCUUCAGGCUGACUUGGGACACCCACAGGAGAGCGGCGUCUUGGGUGGGGGCCCCCGGGGUCCCUCUGGGAUCCCCCCAGGAUCCCCUGAGACAGAGCUUGGCAGCUGCCAGGCUUUGAGUGUCAUUUCUGGACCAAAUCCCUCGGCCCCCACCUCAGGCCUGUCUGCCUGCCUCUGUCCCUGGGAAUGUCCUGAGGCCCCUGGUCCUGGGCGGUGGGGACAGGACGCCUGAGGUUCCUUCUUAGGAUUUCAGGCAUCUCCCUGUGGUCACGCCCUGCUCGCUCCCCAACACGGACCCUGGUUACUGUGCCUUGAGCGUGCAUGUGUGUGAAUCCGCACCUGCCUUUCCAUGUAGGCGAGGAUCUCAUGUAGGUGACGUCCUUGCAGAAGAACAAAGAGUGGAAGGUGGGACUGUGGGUGAGAAUAGGAGCCGGGGACCUAAGAGGACAGAAGGGCAGGAAGGAUUCAAAUGGAGGAGAGGAUCCAGGUGAACCCAGUGGACAGUGAACGGCUGGGUUGAGGGGGUGUCUCUUGUGCCACCAUUCCGGGGCUGCUCUCUGUGCCAGGCACGGGGCAGGGGCCAGACGGUGUGGUGCGAGCGGGCCGGCCUGGCCUUCCCCAGCCCGCAGGCAGCACACAGGACGGUGCGCUGGAGGGGUGUGCAGGCGGGGCAGGAGACACGGUCCUGCGGCUUCCCCAGCCCAUCCGCGGUGGCCUUUGGCAUCUCCUAGCUCUCUGCGCUGCCCGCUCUGUCUCCGCCUGUAGGAGUGAGUGCCUGUGCUGUCUCCCUGCCCCUUCCAGCCUCCCGGCACUGAGUCUCGAGGCCGUCAAGGCUGAGGCGGAAGAGCGGCUGGCACGGGGCAGGGAGCAGCCAGGGCCCUGGCCCCAGGGUGAAAGCUGACGUCUGUCCGGGAGCAUCUCUCUCCCUGCCAAGGGCUGAGAUCCUGAGCUGCAUGCCUUCCUUCUGACACAGGAGCCGGCAUCCGUCCCUCAUGGAACCUGGACCCCAGCCUCACCCCAGAGUGGCCGGGUGACAGCUGUGGCAGUGUGGUGACUGCAAGGGCCUCUCUUGCUUCCCUCCAGAUGCGCCUGACACCUCCCAGGCCACUUCGGGUAGCUAUGGAGACCCACACAAGGGGCCCCACACCCAGAAUCCAAGUUUUGGCUUCAAGAACAGUGAGGAGCUCCUGCACUGGCCCAUUCCAAGCGGUAGUGACCUGGAGCGUGUCAGAGGGGAGGCCUGGCCCUUUACUGCUUAUGGUGAGUGCCCCAGCCUCCCCCACCUCCACGGGCGCCACAAAGGGUUACUGAGCCACUGCCACGUGCCAGCCACUGAGCAAGGGACCGGCCGCGGUGCUGAGUAAAGCGCACUUAAACCCUGUCCUCAUGGUUUUGUUUUGCUUUUAAUUCUUACUUUACAUGGGAGCACUGUAUAGUUGAUUAACAAUGUUCUGUUAGUUUCAGGUAUACAGCAAAGUGAUUUGGUUAUACAUACACCUGUACCUAUUCUUUUUCAAAUUCUUUUUCUUUUAAGGUUAUUACAGAGUAUUGAGCAGAAUUCCUGUGUUAUACAGUAGGUCCUGGUUGAUUAUCUGUUUUAUAUACAUUAGGGUGUAUAUGCUAAUCCCAGCCUCCUCGGUUUUCCCUUUCUCCACCUUUCCCCUUUGGUAACCAUAAGUUUAUUUUCUAAGUCUGUGAGUCUGUUUCUCUUUUGUAAAUUAGUUCAUUUAUAUCAUUUUUUUAAAGAUUCCACAUAUAAGUGAUGUCAUGUGAUAUUUGUCUUUCUCUGUCUGACUUACUUCACUUAGUAUGAUUAUCUCUAGGUCCAUCCAUGUUGCUGCAAAUGGCAUUAUUUCACUCUUUUUUAUGGCUCAGUAAUAUUCUAUUGUCUCUAUGUACCACAUCUUCUUUGUCCAUUCAUUGGUAUAUGGUCAUUUAGGUUGCUUCCAUGUCUUAGCUAUUGUAAAUAGCCACAGUGAACAUUGGGGUAUAUGUAUCUUUUCUUUUCUUCUUUGUUUUUUUUUGGGGGGGGGGCACGCCAGGCGGCAUGCGGGAUCCUAGUUCCCUGACCAGGGAUCAAACCCACGCUGCCUGCUGUGGAAGUGCGGAGUCUCACCCACUGGACUGCCAGGGAAGUCCCUGUAUCUUUUCAAAUUAUGGUUUUUUCUGGAUAUAUGCCCAGGAGUGGAAUUGCUGGAUCAUAUGGCAACUCUAUUUUUAGCUUUUGAGGAAUCUCCAUACUGUUCUCUAUUGGCUGAACAAAUUUACAUUCCCGCCAACAGCGUAGGAGCGUUCCCUUUUCUCCACAUCCUCUCUAGCAUUUAUUGUUUGUAGACUUUUUGAUGAUGGCCACUCUGAUACAAGGUGAUACCUCAUUGUAGCUUUAACUUGCAUUUCUAUAAUAAUUAGGGAUGUCGAUCAUCUUGUCAUGUGCUUUUUUUUUUUAAAGAGUGUGAGUGAAAGUUACCUCUUGAAAUUGGCUUUGUGACAGGCUUCUUUUUGGAUUACCUCCCCCAGGACAUUUCUAGAGGGCAGGUGUCAUUUACAGCCCCACAGGCCUUGUUAAUAUGAAGUGCCCAUGAGAAACAGUUUUAAAGUUGUUGUUACGGGAAACGGCCCCAAGGCGGCAGGAUUUCUUCAUGCCCAGCUUGGACACUCGGGCAACCAGAGCCUUGGAAAGUCAAAAGUUGUGUUUGGCGAUUCUAAAUUACAGCGGAAUGUGCCAGAAGAAAUACCCAAGGGGGUUGUGUCUCAUUACUUCCUCCCCCUUACCUUUCACCUCCGGGUAAAAUCCCAACCCCUGCAAAACCGCUCUGCUGAGUGUGCUGUCGUCCGGAGGCGGGGCGACUCUAAGCAAGGAGGCUGGAGGUGGGAAGCCCACCACCAGAACACGUGGAGACCAAGUGACUUUUCAAAGCUCUUACAGCCCUGAGGGUCCACUAUUCUUUGGUUGCACUAGGCUUUGUUUAGCUGUAAGAGGACCCGCCUGGAUCUAGAAAUUGUGAUCCCAUGCAGAGGGGACCAGACACUACAGGUCCAAGGGGGGCUAAUUUGCUGGUGCAUCCUCCCCAGCUCCCUCAGCUCCAGGACAGUCCAGCCAUGAGAGCAAAGCCAGCUCAGGCUCCAUUGAUGUGACACCAGCCUGGGUCACUGAGGCCAGAGAGGACUAUAGUAGGCAUUUCUUCUUUUCUUUUAAUUUAAUUUUUACUUUAUAUUGGAGUACAGUUGAUUUACAAUGUUGUGUUUGUUUUAGGUAUUCAACAACUUGAUUCAGUUAUACAUAGACGUAUAUCUAUUCUUUUUUUGGAUUAUUUUCCCAUAUAGGUUAUUACAGAGUGUUGAGUAGAGUUCCCUGUGCUAUACUAUAGGUCCUUGUUGAUUAUUUUAUAUAUAUUGUGGUGUAUAUGCUAAUCCCAACCUCCUCAUUUAUCCCUUUUCCCCAUCUUCCCUUGUGGUAACCAUAAGUUUGUUUUCUAAGUCUGUGAGCCUGCUUCUGUUUUGUAAAUUAGUUCAUUUGUAUCAACUUUUGGAUUCCACCUCUAAGUGAUAUCAUGUGAUGUUUGUCUUUCCCUGUGUGACUUACUUCAGUUAGUAUGAUCAUCUCUAGGUCCAUCCGUGUUGCUGCAGAUGGCAUUAUUUCAUUCUUUUUAAUGGCUGAGUAAUGUUCCAUUGUCUGUAUGUACCACAUCUCAUUUAUCCAUUCAUCUGUCGAUGGACAUUUUGGUUGCUAGUGUUUUGGCUAUUGUAAAGAGUGCUGCAGUGAACAUUGUGGUGCGUGGGUCUUUUUGAAUUAUGGUUUUCUCUGGAUAUUCACCCAGCACUGGGAUUGCUGGAUCAUCUGGUAGCUCUCUUUUUAGUUUUUAAAGAAACUUCCAUACUGUACUCCAUAGUGGCUGUUACCAGUUUCCACUCCCACCAGCAGCUUAGGAGGGUUCCCUUUUCUCCACACCCUCUCCAACUGCUGUUGUUUGUAGACUUUUUGAUGAUGGCUAUUUUGACUGGUGAAAGGUGAUACCUCUUUGUAGUUUUGAUUUCCAUUGCUCUAAUAAUUAGUGAUGCUGAGAAUCUUGUCUUUUUUUUUUAAUUUUUAUUAAUUAUUUAUUUUUGGCUGGGUCGGGUCUUCGUUUCUGUGCGAGGGCUCUCUCCAGUUGCGGCAAGCAGGGGCCACUCUUCAUCGCGAUGCACGGGCCUCUCACUAUUGCGGCCUCUUUUGUUGCGGAGCACAGGCUCCAGACGCGCAGGCUCAGUAGCUGUGGCUCACGGGCCCAGUUGCUCCGCGGCAUGUGGGAUCUUCCCAGACCAAGGCUCGAACCCGUGUCCCCUGCAUUGGCAGGCAGACUCUCAACCACUGCGCCACCAAGGAAGCCCCCUUGUCGUUUUUUUUUUAAACAGUGUGUUCCUGGGUUGUAAAUUGAGUGGAAUGUGCCAGAACAAACACCCGAAGGGUUGUGUCUCAUUACUUCAUCCCCCCUUACCCGUUUCACCCCUGGGGCAAAUCCCAACCCCUGGAAAACCACUUUGCUGAAGGUGCUAUUGUCCAGAGGUGGGGUGACCCUAAGGAAGAAGGAUGGAGGUGGGAACCUUCCCAGCAGGAGAUGUGGAGACCAGGUGACUUUUCAAAGCUCUUCCGGCCCUGAGAGUCCACCACUCUUUGGGUGUACUGGGCUUGUUUUAGCUGUAGGAGGGCCCGCCUGGAUCUAGAGAUUGUGGUCCUGUGCAGAGGGGACCAGGCACUACAGGUCCAAAGGGGGCUUCAUUUGCUGGCAGAUCCUCCCCAGCUCCCUCAGCCCCAUGACAGUCCAGCCUUGGGACCCAAGCCUGCUCAAGCUCCAGGGAUGUGACACUAGCCCAGGUCACUGAGGCCUGAGGGGAACAUUGUAGGCAUUUUUUUUUUAAUUUAAUUUUUGUUUUCUAUUGGAGUACAGUUGAUUUACAAUGUUGUGUUUUUUUAGGUGUUCGGCAACUUGAUUCUGUUAUACAUAGACAUAUAUCUGUUCUUUUUCAGAUUCCUUUCCCAUAUAGGUUAUUAAAGAGUGUUGAGUAGAGUUCCCUGUGCUAUACAGAAGGUCCUUGUUGAUUACGAAUUUUAUAUAUAUUGGGGUGUAUAUGCUAGUCCCAACCUCCUCAUUUAUCCCUUGCGCCACAUUUCCCCUUUGGUAACCAUAAAUUUGUUUUCUAUGUCUAUGAGUGUUUCUGUUUUGUAAAUUAGAUCAUUUGUAUCAAUUUGUAGAUUCCUCAUCCAGUGAUAUCAUAUGAUACUUGUCUUUGUCUGACUUACUUCAGUUAGUAUUGAAACCGUGUACAAGCCCCUGUGUCCUUGUCUUUUGUAAUAAAAUGCUGACUCAAGAGUUAAUGAUUGGGAAAUGUGAAAUAGAGAAACAAAGAAUAGCUGUUUGGCUGAGGAACUGGUAACAAUUUAGACUAUAAUUCUGCCACAUAGCAGAAUCAUGAAACCCACAGUUCCCUGAAAGAUAUAAAGGCCUGACACACAUUCCUGAGUUGUUUUUACAGAAAGCAGACCCUCUCCAGAUGUGCUGACCACAAGAACACAGACCCUAGACUGGUUGAAACCAGAAGGUUGAUGAAGCUUGAAACUUCGCCUUGAUGCCAACCAAUCCGAGAAUUGUCCGCGAGCUAAUCACCCCCUCCAGUCUUGAGGGCAUUAGCUCGCUGUGGCCCUGUUUGCCUGGCAAAGCAGUAAAAGCUAUUCUUUUCUACUUCACCCAAAACUCUGUCUCUGCAUUUCUAUUUGGCACUGGUGAACAGAUGCCGAGUUUUGGCAAUAGAAUUUUGGGGGCUCAUCCAGGAUCAACCUGUGUGCAGGUGGCCUUGAGGCGCCCCUGUGUUUGAGCGGACGCUCUGAGGUUUCUCUCCACACCAGCCUCCUUCGAGAGAGCAGAGGGUUGAAGGACUCCUCUGGAGGCCGGAUCGCCAGGGAUCCCCUGCCGUAGGGCUGUGCCGUGAUCAUACCCGGCCUGCCGUCUCGGUAGUUGGAGCUCCGAGGCGGGGAUGGAAGACAGGAGAGAAGCUGUCAGCAGCUGCCAAGGCCACCUUUGCCUUGAGGUCAUCCCCCUCUCCUUCUGCCCACACCGGUCCGGACUUCCUGCUCUGAGAAGAUAUUUUGGGGAAGCAGCAAGGUAGCGUUUGGGACGUUGCAGCACCUCUGCCAGCACUUCGGAAAUCAAAUGAUCAGUGCCUGAAGAACACUGACUAGAGGCCCACGGACACAGCAUAUAUCAAGGUCAUCACACAAACAUCAGCCCCACAGCACCCCUAAAGCCCAGAACCUAAAGAAGCAAAAGAGGGGACAAACUGCCUUUAAAAGGACAUUAGUCAUGUAUACUCCCUGCAAGAGUGUAUCAGAGGGCUUGUUUCCACUGAUAUUGACAAGAGAUGCUACAAAGGCAGUUUAAGUUUCCAAUAUAAUGGGGAAAAAAAUGUUACAUUGGCAUUGUAAUGUAUUUUCCCCGACCAUCUCUUUGAGGUUGGGUGCCUCUUCAUAUGUAAAAUGAUCGUUUUUAUUUCUUUUUCAGUGAAAUUUAAUUUCAUAGGUUCCAAAUAUUUUUAUUUGGUCACUUCUAUUUUUUGUCUUGAGAGGCAAUUCAAAUAUACUUUAUAUUUGUGGUGUCUUCUCCCACAGCAUCCUUCCAAGCCAAUUACUGUCCACACAGUCACUAAAAAAUUUGUCAAGGAACUUGUUUUCACAGGUCAUCCACCACUCAAGACACCUGAUAUGAGGGCCAUCUGCCUUGAACAGCCUUACAUCAAGAACUCUGUACUGAGCUCUUUGCUCUCAACUUAUGGACCAGAUAAAGGACAGGAUGAGGGUGUCAUUAUUACCUCACAACCUGCACCCAAGCACAUUGGUCAGUGCUCAAACAUCAUUGCCAAGGUGACAGACAACAGGCCUGGAUCUUCUCCUGUGAUGUCACCAGCUUGCCACCAAGACAUUUGGUCUGGACUAUGUCAUCAACCACAAGGCACAACUCAAGUGUCCUGAAGUAGACUCAGUGUGUGGACCAGAGCCUGUCAAACAUAAAUGUGACCAGGACUCCAAACUCAGGCCCCAGGCAAGAGACCUUCCCAGGUCUCCAUCCAGUUUUGCUAGAACCUCCCCUCCCCCCUCCCCCUACCCCCAAAAAAGUAAGACUCGGGUCCUUAUUUUCCUCUGAGUAUACUCAGAGACCUGAUCUGUGGAAUUGUCCAUAGUCUUCAUCCUCUUCCCAGUACAACUGGACUUGGAUACACACAGGCACAUCAAAUGACCAUAAGGCCACCUGCCCCAGUGCUAAGCAUUGACUCCCAGCCUCUACCCAACUCGCCUCACCUGAGCCCAAUCCAGGCCUGCACUGUCCCCCAACCCCCACCAUCUGUGCACAUUCCAGACCAACCCCCCAGAAUUGUCUUCAUGAUGGGACAAGGGAUGGGGGAAGGGCUCCAGGUUCAGAACAGCUUUCAUUUCAUCCUCCUGAGAAGCCUGCUCCUACAAGUCAGAUGUUUCACAUCUUAGAGGAAUCUGGGUGAUCCUAACCCAUGUCCCAGUCCAUGUUCUCCAUGAGGACCUUCUGGUCUCCUCCUCUGAGGAGAGUGGUCUGCCCCACCCCAAGGCAUGGAAGACUCAGUCUCCAGGCUAAUGUGUCCUGGAGGGGACUACUGCAGUAAAAGAAAGAAGAAAAGAGCAGAAUUUGUCUCAUGAAUUAGCACUUCCCCAGGUGUGCUUUAUGUACAAAUUUCAGAACACCGAAUACCAUUGAGAGUUUCACAGCCCAUUUCAUGUAAUGUUAUGAAUGAUGUAAAUUUAACAUGUUUUAAAUGGAAGUUACCAAACUGUCAUAUAAAGUAUUUAGUAAAUUAGAAAAAUUGUUGUUUGCUAAUCCUUUUACAAUAUAUGUCAAGUCAUUUAUGCUGUGCACCUCCAAUUUCUACAGUACUGUAUGUAGAAAUUGUAUCUCAAUAAAACUGAAAGAAAAAUAAAGGAAAAUAAUAGUUAAUAAGAAACUGAGUCAACACACUGGAAAAUAUUAAGCUAUAAUGCCAGUAGGAGGCAAAUGAUUAACAUUUAUUUGUAUUCAGUGUGCAGGUAACUGGAAUUUGGGAAACUCCGGAUAAAACAGACACCUAUGUUUUUUAAGCUGAGCCUUUCCUGAAACUAGAAUUUUUAUCUCUGAAAGAGUGCUACU